GGCCCCGUAGUGUAGCGGUUAACACGUCGCCCUGUCACGGCGAAGAUCGGCAGUUCGAAUCUGCUCGGGGUCGCCA
rnacentral:tRNA from 1 species